rnacentral:rRNA from 1 species
GACGAACGCUGGCGGCGUGCUUAACACAUGCAAGUCGAACGGAAAGGCCCUGCUUUUGUGGGGUUCUCGAGUGGCGAACGGGUGAGUAACACGUGAGUAUCCUGCCCUUGACUUUGGGAUAACUUCAGGAAACUGGGGCUAAUACCGCAUAGGAGCUCCUGCUGCAUGGUGUGGGUUGGAAAGUUUCGGCGGUUGGGGAUGGACUCGCGGCUUAUCAGCUUGUUGGUGGGGUAGUGGCUUACCAAGGCUUUGACGGGUAGCCGGCCUGAGAGGUUGACCGGCCACAAUGGGACUGAGAUACGGCCCAGACGCGUACGGGCGGCAGCAGUGGGGAAUAUGGCACAAUGGGCGGAAGUCUGAUGCAGCAACGCCGCGUGCGGGAUGCCGGCCUUCGGGUUGUAAACCGCUUUCGCCUGUGACGAAGCGUGAGUGACGGUAAUGGGUAAAGAAGCACCGGCUAACUACGUG